UUCUUCUUCCUGUUUUAUUUUGUAGUUUCAUGUCUCUUGUGUUCCUGGGUUAGCUUCACUUCCUGCCUUGUCCUGUGAUUGCCUGAUUGUUUCCACCUGUGUCCAAUCACCUGCACCUCCCUAGUGUAUUUAAGCCCUGUAAGUCUGUUGUGCCUGGUCGCGUCAGUGUUAGUCUACCUGUUGUUGGAGCACAUCUUUUCUUUGGAUUAAAGAGCACUUUUUUGAAAACCUGGAAACUCUGCGUUUAAGUCCUGCCUCCCUCAGCCUGAACCAGCAACCCUUGUGACAACGAAUACUGCUACUUAUUCCUUACUUUGAGCAAAAUUUUUCAAACAUGUAUCCAUUACUCGUAGAUGAAUAAUUAAACUCCAUAUUCAUCAUUUUUGACAGCUAAACAUGAUAAAUGUAUCUGCAGAAGUGCCCUCUGGUGUACAAGUAUCCUGGUUGGCGAUCACCGAGGAAGAGACCGAAUCAUGAAGACGGAUCCAGAGACUGAGACUGACGGAGCCACACAGCUGCUCCACACAUCAAAGAGCAGCUUCGGUGCAGGGAUCGUAUUUCUGGAUGAGCCAACCCGAGGGAGAGUGAGCUGAAGUCACACGGGGGACCUGGAGGUCUUAUGGACUGAAACUGGAAGGUCACACAUGGGGUUUCCCAACAGACAGUUACGCUUGUGACAGACCCGUGAACAUCUGGGUGCUGUAGGAUAAUUGAGACAUUCUUGAUAUUCAUGACACAACAGUUGCCUGAGCUGAAACCCAUUUUAAUGAGUUGUUAAUCAAUGUGAUGACCUUCGAACCUGUAAGCUCUAAUGAUAAUACGGUACCCGUUUAAGUGCAAAAAAGAAAACACACUGGGAAAUUUUUGGUGGUUUGACCUGCAGACUAAAACGUUUUUAACAACUAUUGAAGUAUUGGCGGUAUUGGUGGUGUCAAAAAGAUGAUCUAACUUUGGUGAUUCCCUGUUCUUUCCUUUAGUGUCUGUCUUUUUCAUUCAUUCCUUGUAAUAUCUUAAAAUGUACUUAAUGGAUUGGCGACAAAUUCCGUACAUAAUUAUGGUUGCUAAGUUGUGGAUAAAAAUCCUGAGAAACAACUGCUUCCAUGAAUCCUUGAUCAGGGAGGCUGAAGAUGAAAUAUACUUCUGCUUCAAUUCAGCAUCUUUCCAUUAGUGACGUAAGCACCUGAAAUAUCUUUGUUCCUGCCGUUCAUUUAUCCUUGAAACACACUUGUAGAGAAACACUUUCUUUCAAGUAACGUGCUUUUUUUGCACAAACAACAGUUUUCUGUGAUAAUGGUUUGGUUGAAUUCUAACUAUGAUAAGAAUGCAAGUAUGCAGGCCCUGUACUAGCACAACAUUAUCAUGUGAUUGAGCUUACAACGCACACACACACACACACACACACACACACACACAAACGCGAAC